UACGUAGGGACCGAGCGUUGUCCGGAAUUAUUGGGCGUAAAGCGCGUGUAGGCGGCCAGAUAGGUCUGCUGUGAAAACUCGAGGCUCAACCUCGAGCUGUCGGCGGAAACCAUCCGGCUAGAGUCCGGAAGGGGAGAGUGGAAUUCCCGGUGUAGCGGUGAAAUGCGCAGAUAUCGGGAAGAACACCUGUGGCGAAGGCGGCUCUCUGGGACGGUACUGACGCUGAGACGCGAAAGCGUGGGGAGCAAACAGG
rnacentral:rRNA from 1 species